AUGCAGUGAAAUUACAGGAGAAGUGGAGAAGCUCUGACCUCAGUGCUCAACUCAGAAACCUCCAGUCUGAGAGAACUGCAUCUGACUGUCAAUACACUGAAUCUGUCUGAGAAUAAACUAGAAGACUCAGGAGUGAAGCGUCUCUCUGCUCUACUGGAGAAUCCUGAGUGUAAAGUGAAAGAUCUGAGUAUCAGAUGCAGUAAAAUUACAAAGAGAAGUGGAAAAGCUCUGACCUCAGUGCUCAACUCAGAAACCUCCAGUCUGAGAGAACUGCAUCUGACUGUCAAUACACUGAAUCUGUCU